rnacentral:lncRNA from 1 species
AGCGGGAACAAUGAUACUUCAGGUAAUACUUGAGGGGAUUAAUUAGACAGGGCUUUUCUUGAGUGGUAACCAAAUAAUCUGAUUUGUUACUAUUUUACAGGAACGACCAUCCUUACUGCCAUACGGUCCACGGUUGAUCCAAAAACAGAGGUUGUCUUCCAAGAGGAUCCCAACAGCCAAUUCUUGGAGGGGAACAAAUUUGACUAUGCGAUU